CCCUUAUGCUUCCGGCAAAUAUGUCCUCAACAAAGGUUUAUCUUCGCUAUGUAGUACUCAAUUUCAUUGAGCAAAAUGAGGUUGAGGUGGCACCAUCUUCAUGGCUCGAAAAGAUCGAUGGGGUACUGUUCUGCUAUUGGCCCAAUUCAAAUGUUGGGACCAAAGUCAUAAAAUGUGCCAUUCCAGACAAACAUCUCUGGACAAAAUAUGCCGUCAGAGUAUUUUCUGACACAGACAGUUACAACCUAGCAAGGUAUCGGGUCCAAAAAGCAGUUGAAACUUCCCAUGUUGAGGACUCGGAUGGAAAUAGUUCACGAAAAAUUAUACCACCAAGAAGAUUUAGAGAAGAAGAACUUCGGGCGCCCAUACCUAGAAAGACACCACAGACAAAACGCUUUCUUGAAGAAAGUGAAUCAUCCCAAGAUGAGAUUUUCAGUUUGAAAGCAAAGAAAAUUAACAAACGGCCAAGAUCAACAGCAAUUGCAUCUACGUGUAAGUAGAAAGUUAACAAAAACUGUUGAUGAUAAUAUAAAAUAGUCUUUCUAUGUGUGCAAAAAUGAUUCAUGAAGGCCAUAACAUUAAAGGGAUAGUUCACACAAAAAUGAAAAUUCUGUCAUCAUCCUCACCCUUGAGUUGUUCCAACCCUAUAUAAAUAUAUUUGUUCUGCUGAACACAAAGGGUUACAGACAUUCUUCAAAAUAUCUUCCCUUGUGUUCAGCAGAACAAAUAUGUUUAUACAGGGUUGGAACAACUCAAGGGUGAGGAUGAUGACAGAAUUUUCAUUUUUGGGUGAACUACUCUUUUAAGAAAUGUCAAAAAAAGUCCCUGCUAAUAUUUUGUUUUGUUUUAUUUUCAGCUGGGGAGCCUGAUGAAGGUAAAGUCACUAUGAUUUACUUUCAUUUGUUUGCUAUAGUCUGAAAUUGUACCAAUAUAUAUAUAUGUAUAUGUAUAUGUAUAUGUAUAUGUAUAUACAGUACAGGUCAAAAGUUUGGAAACAUUACUAUUUUUAAUGUUUUUGAAAGAAGUUUCUUCUGCUCAUCAAGCCUGCAUUUAUUUGAUCAAAAAUACAGAAAUAAAAUGUAAUAUUGUGAUAUAUUAUUACAACUUAAAAUAAUAGUUUUUACAUUUAUUAUACUUUAAAUUAUCAUUUAUUUCUGUGAUGCAAAGCUGAAUUUUUAGGAUCAUUAUCACAUGAUCCUUUAGAAAUCAUUCUAAUAUGAUGAUUCAUUAUCAAAGUUGGAAACAGUUCUGCUGCUUAAUAUUUUUUCAGAACAUGUGAUACUUUUUU
ensembl:lncRNA